AUUCCCACAGUUCAUGCUCUCGUUUCAGAGCUCCUCAGGUGGAAGACAACAACAGCAUCAACAUGGGCCAGAACGGAGGACGGAAACGAUCACACCUCCUGCCUCUUCUGCUGGUGUCCAGCAUGUGUUUUGUGAGUGCCGAAUACUUGAGUUGUGGAGAAAAUGAAUUUUACAAUUACACAAUCAGCAGCUGCCAACCCUGCCCACAGUGUCAGCCGGGACAAGAGCCGAACAUGACAGCAGCGGCAUCAGAUGGCACUUCAGAAGAUCUGGAGACAGAGAG